rnacentral:lncRNA from 1 species
UCUCUCGCCGGACCGGUACACGGCGGCGGCGCCGCCGGCGAGCGCCGCCUCAUCGGCCCCUCUCCAUCCCCCCUGUCCUCGUCGGCCCCUCUCCGGCCACUGUCCAAAUCGACAAGCAAAAUUCCAACAACCAAAUUUUCAGAAUUUCAGAGAACCAAAUCAACAACCAAAUUUCAGAGAACCAAAUUUCCAGAAAUUCCAAGAACCAAAUCGACAAGCAAAAUUCCAAAUCAACAAUUAAAAUCAACAACCAAGAUCGAAAUUAAAAUUUCAAACAAGAUCGAAAUUAAAAAUUUCUAGAAUCAAAUCAACACAAGAAUUUUGAAGAGAGAAGGCGUGGUGCGCAGAUCGACGCGGGUGGACGGCAGACGUGGACGACGCGAGUAAAUCCCCCAAAUCGUUGGAAGCACGACGGCGGUGGAAGGACGAUGGCAGUGGGAGAUGGUGGAGCCCCAAAUCGGAGCCCUAAAUCCCCAAACUCACCGCCGACUUCGCUUCGUCCCCAAAUCCACGAGGCUUCUUCUCCGCGAGGCCGACCAUGUCGCCGACGAUGGAGGCGGCACUGGAGGAAAGCGGCGUGUUAGAGGAGGGCGACGCGCUGGAGGAAGGAGUGAGGCCAAAGGUGUCGGCUACUGGUAGCAGCGAGCAAGCUUCUUCUUGUCGGCGACGCCCCCUCAUUCGCAAGCUUGAAGCUUUCUCGGCCGCCGGUCAUUUCUUCAUCGCGGGCUUCUUCUCCGGAGGCGGCGGCGUGAAGCUGGCGAAAGAUGAGAGACGAAGAGAGAGAGCGGAAGAUGAGAGACGAAGAGAGAGAG